UGGCUUUUCUUUCUUCUUUUCUCUUCUUCUUGGCAGCUAGCUUUUCAUCUUCUUUUCUUUUUGCUUUAGCUUCUCUUCUUGCUUGCCUCCUUUGCCUUCUCUCGGGGUCGGUAGUCAUACCACCAUCAGGCUUGAGGGUGGAGUUGCUGGCUGUUGAGACUGAUAGCUCACUGCUAUCACUCUCAACCAGCACAUCCUCAGCUUGUGCAGCUGGAAUGGACCUAUCCUUCGCCCCCGAGCUUCCCACAACUUCCAUACUUCACGCGGUG
rnacentral:lncRNA from 1 species